AUUGAACGCUGGCGGCAGGCCUAACACAUGCAAGUCGAGCGAGCGGCGGACGGGUGAGUAAUGUAUGGGGACUGCCCGUUAGAGGGGGAUAACUACUGGAAAAGGUAGCUAAUACCGCAUACUAUCGGAUAACCCAUAUGGGAUUAGCUGGUAGGUGAGGUAAUGGCUCACCUAGGCGACGAUACCCAGCUGGUCUGAGAGGAUGAUCAGCAACACUGGAACUGAGACACGGCCCAGACUCCUACGGAGGCAGCAGUGGGGAAUAUUGCACAAUGGGCGCAAGCCUGAUGCAGCCAUGCCGCGUGUAUGAAGAAGGCCUUAGGGUUGUAAAGUACUUUCAGUGGGGAGGCGUUACCGACAGAAGAAGCACCGGCUAACUCCGUGCCAGCAGCCGCGGUAAUAC
rnacentral:rRNA from 1 species